rnacentral:rRNA from 1 species
AUGUCGCCGUCUCUGCUCGGGGGGCUCACCAAGUCGCUGGCCAUGACCGUGCUCUCCGAGGUCGGCGACAAGACCUUCUUCGCCGCCGCGAUUCUGGCCAUGCGCCAUCCACGGAAGCUCGUCCUUGCUGGCUGUCUAUCGGCAUUAACAGUGAUGACGGCUUUAUCUGCUUCUCUUGGCUGGGCUGCACCAAAUCUGAUAUCACGUAAAUGGACUCAUCAUAUCACCACUCUGCUGUUCUUUGUGUUUGGCAUCUGGUCAUUGUGGGAAGGCUUCAAAGAAGAAGGAGAGUCAGAAGAUCUGGCUGAAUUGGAAGCAAAGCUGGAUGCGGACUUUAAGAGUAACAAAGGGGAAUCAAAAAAUAAAUCAAAGGCAACUGAAGAUACAAAGAAAAAGCAAAGGCCAUUUCUCAUGCAGUUCUUCUCGCCAAUUUUUAUAAAGGCAUUUUCCAUCACUUUCUUUGGUGAGUGGGGUGACAAGAGCCAGAUUGCUACAAUUGGCCUGGCUGCUGAUGAAAACCCAUUCGGUGUCGUCAUCGGGGGAGUCAUAGCUCAAGCACUCUGCACUACCGCUGCCGUGAUGGGAGGGAAGAGCCUGGCCUCUCAGAUAUCCGAGAAGAUGGUUGAAUUGUCGAGCGGGGUGCUAUUCCUGUUGUUCGGCAUAAUGUCCUUGUUGUCAGGACCAGAAGGGCAAUUGUAA